rnacentral:lncRNA from 1 species
AGUAAGCUCGGCAGGGAGCAGUUGGCCUGUGUGUCAGCACCCAACGGAGGGUCUUGAAUGAGCACUUCUCCUCUCAGAAAGGCAUAUGUUACCGCUCAUACAUGCUGCCUGGCGGCAGGGCGGAGCUACGAAGAGGGCUGCUGUAUGUCACGCAGGAGCCAUUGCCAGACACCAGCUCUUUAAACGUGAAGGGGCUCUUCCUGAAAGCAGCACCAGCACACGGGAGGCUAAGCCCUGGCAGGCAGUCCCCACUGACUUGACUUCAGUUAGCAGGAGGUGGCAAGGAGCUCUGGUCAGCCUCUCUCUAAUGAAGAGAUGGCAUCCUCGCUUCUACAAGGUGAACAAAGCAGCACGAGAACCAUCAGAAUCAAUUCCAGCAAUGAAGGUGAGACAGACGCGCUCUCGCCCCCACACAUACCUGGAAAGCAAACCAGCCCACUCUUCCUGAUAACUCAGUCCGCAGCUGGACUCACUAGCAAGUUCCAGAAACACAGAGCUGCCAGAGGCAAGAACCUCAUGCCCUAAGCCACCAGACCACAAACAAUAGUCAGACACUCUGUUUCCUCCCAUUUUGUCGAAAAGAAUCCGUGGAAACUUUUCCGUGGUGCUAAAGAGGAGAUAUGUCCCCAGAUGAUGAGGAAAAAGGGUAACUCCCAAGUCGGGGACAAAUAGGGAACUUUGAGGACCUGAGAGGAACCCACCCCUGAAUGUGCCCUGCCAAAGGCUCCUGCUGGGUCUGGCGCUCGCACAGGCAAUGAAGUGUGAGUGGAAACACAAGAGAGGAAACAGGAGGGGCCAGGGGCCAGGGCUCCAGGCUGGCACGGCACUGCAGCCGGACCUGCCUGGAAUAAUAAGCAGCUGCAGGGGGCGGCUACUCAGUGGAGCAGGCUCUUGUUCCCUGCCCUCUUCACUGGGCUGGGAGCAAGCUG